GAUGAAGAACGUAGCGAAAUGCGAUACGUAAUGUGAAUUGCAGAAUUCAGUGAAUCAUCGAAUCUUUGGACGCAUAUUGCGCUCUCUGGUAUUCCGGAGAGCAUGCUUGUUUGAGUAUCAGUAAACACCUCAACUCCCUUUUCUUUUUUGAAAUUGGAGCUGGACUUGAGUGAUCCCAACGCUUUCUUCCAAGAAAGUGGCGGGUUGCUUGAAAUGCAGGUGCAGCUGAACUUUUCUCUGAGCUAUAAGCAUAUCUAUUUAGUCUGCCUAAAAAACAGAUUAUUACCUUUGCUGCAGCUAACAUAAAGGAGACUAGUUCUUGUGCUGACUGAUGCAGGAUUCACAGAGACAGCUUCGGCUGACUUUGUAAACUCGAUCUCAAAUCAAGUAAGACUACCCGCUGAACUUAAGCAUAUCAAUAAGCGGAGGA
rnacentral:misc_RNA from 1 species